rnacentral:lncRNA from 1 species
AACGUACGCAAUGCGCACAGAAACCAAGGUGCAGCGUUCUGUAACAUCGCCAACAUAUCCGGUACGCGGUGGCAGGCUUGCCGAGCACGAAAUGAAGGGGGGGUCGCAUCUCACCAUUCAACUAAGCAUGCAUGUGCUCGGUUGAAUGCUCGGUAGCGUGCGAGUUUACCCCUAUCAGGAUGUUUGUUUGCAUAUCCCUCCAAGCGAGAGGGCUUGCACCUAUGCUGAUGUUCGUUCCAAGAAGUGAACUGAGGACUGAUGCUACGGUGAAAGAUUUGCACGUAAAUUCGCCCGUGCAAUAAAACGCCCUGUAACUCGCUUACGCUAAUCUCACAUUCCAAUAUGCCACUGCACUUUCCUCUCCAGCCUGGCCACAUUCUCUUCCUCGCAAACGUACUUGGGCACCUUACAAUCCAACACCAUACGUGCUUUGGAAACGCGGGCAGCUGCUUCACAAGGACCCCCCUAUUUGGUAUUCUCUUCUAAGUAGCGCGGCGCUGUAGUCUGCUGAUGUAUUAUCACGGCGUCCUUGGUUUUGGAGACUGUGCCGGGCCUGAUUGUACGGUUCUGGCUUCAACGCCGGCCUGUGACCAGCAUCGGUUCCGUGCCGACCAUGCUUUGGGUAAAACCCUAAAACCCUACAGUUAAUCUUGCGUUGCUUGCGCGGCGGGUCCGCAAAUGUUUCGUGGCCGUCUGCGACUUCGCCCGGCAACUCGCCAUCCUCAAGGUCGCUACCGUUAUCCAUCUGUGUUGGAUUGACCCAUACUAGAUGACUCGAUUUUCCUCCUUUCAUGCUGAAGGUAGAGCUAAUUCCACGAGGGGAGUCGUGCCCUGUAAGUCUCCGUUCGACUGGGGCGGCGGAAUGUCCCGGUUCUCCUGCUUUGAACGCUUCGCAAAGCUUCUUAGCUAGAUAUCCUGUUGUUAUAUAAACGCCAGCCUCAGACCGUUGAUACGAGUCCAAUGGUGAGGUGAACCUUUGCCCUGUAACAAACGGUGAUAUCUGCCUGACUUAUUGCCAGGUUGGGGGUCCUCCGUAACACUUAUGAACCAUGAAAGAGAAGUGGUAUGCUUGCUCCGCAAACUUGCCGUGCUCUGGAUCCGAAACCCAUUCCUUCCGAAACAGUGAAACAGCAUGCAACACGAAUGCACACGGGUUGCUCCAUCUAACAAAUACUGUGCUGGAUAUGAACUAGAAAUUUUAUGUUUGGCACACCGCCUCAUGCAUUUCUGAGGCAAGGCCAUUUUUACUUGCUAAAUAGACUGCGAUCGUUUUUACUACUGUAGUUCCCCCACGACCCUUUUUAUUUCUCAUACAUUGUAUAGGUAUGCGGCCACCGACACGCCGAUUUGACAAAUCCAAGACCAAGGCCAAGGCCUUGUUGUAGUUGCAGCUGGUUACGAACCCCCAAAACAAACACCAAGGCCUCACCAAAACUGGCUCAGCUUGAGAAACAUUAUGGCCCCAGCCAAUCAUCCCCAAAACCCACAAGCAUUAGCGCUUAAUCAGUUCCACUUGUUAAGUGGCUUGCUUUCCCAUCUCUACACGGCAUCAGCUGCCAGGUGCUACCUCCACCGCUCCUGGCGCUGCCAUCCAGCACUUUUGGCUCUCCACAUUAUCGCCGCUGUGCUCGCACACAUCCGUACAUGAGUGAUCACCGACCCGGAAAGGUAAACCACCGCAGGCCAUUAUUCACCCCUCACCGCACUACCUCCUCUUCCCCUACACGCACACGUACGCAAACCUACUACCGCAUGAAUCCUCACCACACACUCCCCCUCCUCCUCCACAAGUACCUCCCCUGUAGGGGCUACACGCAUCAUAUGCGCCACAGGAUCCGCUUCUGCUUAACGAAAAGCUGAGUAAUCAACGGACCGGAAUGCAACGCUGGCAUCUACACCAACGGACCGUCCGUGAUUCGUAGUGAGGCCAGAGGUCCACAUGGAAUAUGCAAACCGGACGCUCUACACCACCUCUAUAUUCGCUUUCUGCUUCCGUCCCCUGCCAAGAAAGAGAUGGAUCGCAGAGGCUAAGAUAAAAAUUUGUCCACAAAAUUGUCUGGCGAGUACGGCAAGGGUACAGCACAGGUACAGAGAGCUGAGAGGUGGGGCAGGCUGCGAUAUAGAAUGUGAGACGAAGAGGAACGCCAGGUAGGAGAGAGUGUGAGGAUGAUGUGGCGACAGCCACAGGCAAGCAUAAUGAUUUGACCUAACAGGGCUGGGGACGGUGGCAGUAGGGCACGGCAACCCCGGGCCACGUGGCUACCGCUCGCAC